rnacentral:lncRNA from 1 species
ACAUCACCAUAAAAUUGGCAUCUUUCAGUUGAUUUGCUUUGAAAUCGGCUAGGCUUCAUUGGAGGCGAUGUGUCAUGGAUAUCCUGCUCUCCAAUAUGACUUAGAAUGUAUGCUCGUAACAAAUUCAAUGGACUAAGCCUGGUGUACUUGUUACAUGCCCCAUGUUUUCUUCUUUCAUCAUAUGUAUCAAAAUGGGACAAAGUGUUUUUUGAUGAAUUAGGGGGAGCAAGAAUGGUGUUUCCCCCUAAGUCUACUCAUAAGUAGGGUGCGUUCUAUAUUGAUCAUUUUUG